rnacentral:rRNA from 2 species
GAGCUUGCUCCCUGAUGUCAGCGGCGGACGGGUGAGUAACACGUGGGUAACCUGCCUGUAAGACUGGGAUAACUCCGGGAAACCGGGGCUAAUACCGGAUGCUUGUUUGAACCGCAUGGUUCAAACAUAAAAGGUGGCUUCGGCUAUCACUUACAGAUGGACCCGCGGCGCAUUAGCUAGUUGGUGAGGUAAUGGCUCACCAAGGCAACGAUGCGUAGCCGACCUGAGAGGGUGAUCGGCCACACUGGGACUGAGACACGGCCCAGACUCCUACGGGAGGCAGCAGUAGGGAAUCUUCCGCAAUGGACGAAAGUCUGACGGAGCAACGCCGCGUGAGUGAUGAAGGUUUUCGGAUCGUAAAGCUCUGUUGUUAGGGAAGAACAAGUGCCGUUCAAAUAGGGCGGCACCUUGACGGUACCUAACCAGAAAGCCACGGCUAACUACGUGCCAGCAGCCGCGGUAAUACGUAGGUGGCAAGCGUUGUCCGGAAUUAUUGGGCGUAAAGGGCUCGCAGGCGGUUUCUUAAGUCUGAUGUGAAA